rnacentral:lncRNA from 1 species
AGCCAUUUUCUGCGUGGGUUUGCUUAGCUGCUUUAGUUUGUUUAUCAUCUGUCAGUUUCCAAUAAUGCUAUGUUUUAUUUCCACUAAAUAGAAAAGAUGAGAUACCUGGUAAUACCUGUCGCUCAAAGUUUGCUGGAAGUGCUGCCUCAGAGUUGGAUCGCUGCAGAUCCCUUGAAACAUUAUAAUCCGUUAUUCAGAGCCUGGACAAGAGUUUAGCACUGCAUUUUUACAGAUCGCUGCCUGUAGCGGAGCACAAAGAAAGCGACAAGACUCCCACAUCUUUCAGCGAGAAGAAAGGAAUCAGCAGAGCAGACUAAUACGGACUUGUGUCUGGUGGCCUUUUUGCACAAAGGCUGCCUUUAAAAGAGAAACGCAGUGUUAUUUAAUGAGCUGUGAGAUGAGGCGCUGCUGCUAACACUCAGAUUCCAGGAUUCAUCUGCUAUUCAUUGUGCUUAAUGUACAUGUUUCUACACCGUGCAUUUAGAAGAUCCCAGAGAAGAAUCCAAAACGGCUG